UACGUAGGGGGCCAGCGUUGUUCGGAAUUACUGGGUGUAAAGGGUUCGUAGGCGGUGUGGCAAGUCGGGAGUGAAAUCUCUGGGCUCAACUCAGAGACUGCUUCCGAAACUGCUGUGCUGGAGUGUGGGAGAGGCGCGUGGAAUUGCAGGUGUAGCGGUGAAAUGCGUAGAUAUCUGCAGGAACACCCGUGGCGAAAGCGGCGCGCUGGACCACUACUGACGCUGAGGAACGAAAGCUAGGGGAGCAAACAGG
rnacentral:rRNA from 1 species